rnacentral:rRNA from 1 species
AACGAACGCUGGCGGCAGGCUUAACACAUGCAAGUCGAACGAGAUCUUCGGAUCUAGUGGCAGACGGGUGAGGAACACGUGGGAACAUCCCUUUCAGUUCGGAAUAACGUUGGGAAACUAACGCUAAUACCGGAUACGUCCUUCGGGAGAAAGAUUUAUCGCUGAAAGAUUGGCCCGCGUCUGAUUAGCUAGUUGGUGAGGUAAUGGCUCACCAAGGCUACGAUCAGUAGCUGAUCUGAGAGGAUGAUCAGCCACAUUGGGACUGAGACACGGCCCAUACACCUACGGGUGGCAGCAACAGGGAAUCGUACACAAUGGACGAAAGUCUGAUGUCGCAAUGCCGCGUGGAGGAUUAAGGCCUUCGGGUUGUAAACUCCUUUUACAGUAAUUGAGAAGUUAUUGAGAAUAAGCACCUGCUAACUCUGUGCCAGCCGCCGCAGUAA